rnacentral:rRNA from 1 species
AGACGUCUACAUUAGAUACCCCGUAGUCCCAGCCGUAAACUAUGCGCGUUAGGUGUAUCGGUGACCACGAGUCACCGAGGUGCCGAAGGGAAACCGUGAAACGUGCCGCCUGGGAAGUACGGUCGCAAGGCUGAAACUUAAAGGAAUUGGCGGGGAGCACCACAACGGGUGGAGCCUGCGGUUUAAUUGGACUCAACGCCGGGAAGCUCACCGGAUAAGACAGCGGAAUGAUUGCCGGGCUGAAGACUCUGCAUGACUAGCUG